AUAGAGACUCAGAGCUGCAUAUCAAUAAGCGGAGGAAAAGAAACUAACAAGGAUUCCCUUAGUAACGGCGAGUGAAGCGGGAAGAGCUCAAAUUUGAAAUCUUCAAGGUUUUACCUUGACGAAUUGUAGUUUAAAGAAGUGUUUUCUGUUGAAGUUUUGGUAAAAGUUCUUUGGAUUAGGACAUCAUAGAGGGUGAGAAUCCCGUAUUUGACCGUUACUUUCCAGCUGUGUGAUGCACUUUCAAAGAGUCGGAUUGUUUGGGAAUGCAGUCCAAGAUGGGUGGUAAAUUUCAUCUAAAGCUAAAUAUUGGCGAGAGACCGAUAGCGAACAAGUACCGUGAGGGAAAGAUGAAAAGAACUUUGAAAAGAGAGUUAAACAGUACGUGAAAUUGUCAAAAGGGAAGCGUUUGACACCAGUGUUGUUUUUCCGAAAAUCAAUUACGAAUGUUUUGUUUUUAAGAAGUUAUGACUUCAUCGGCUUGCUUCUUUCUUUACGAAACUUUCUUAAUGCACUUUUCGGUUAACAAGUCAACAUCAAUUUCUUUUGUUGUAAAAGGGUCAUUGGAAGGUGGCUUUUCUUUCGGAGAAAGUGUUUAUAGCCUUUGGCCUCUGCAAUCGGAGAGACUGAGGUCUGCAGCGUAGACUCUUCGGGGUUAGAUACAUUUGUGCUAAGUUAUAGUCUUUUAUAGACAACUUGUUGACUAUAAUUAAUCCUUGUAACUUACUCGCUUAUGCUAUUUUACCUACGCUUAGGAUGUUGAGUAGCGACAUACGCAC
rnacentral:rRNA from 1 species